CGUGUAGGCGGCUUCACAGGUCCGCUGUGAAAACUCGAGGCUCAACCUCGAGCUGUCGGUGGAAACCGUGUGGCUAGAGUCCGGAAGAGGAGAGUGGAAUUCCCGGUGUAGCGGUGAAAUGCGCAGAUAUCGGGAAGAACACCCGUGGCGAAGGCGGCUCUCUGGGACGGUACUGACGCUGAGACGCGAAAGCGUGGGGAGCGAACAGGAUUAGAUACCCUGGUAGUCCACGCCGUAAACGAUGGGUGCUAGGUGUGGGGGGUGUCGACUCCCUCCGUGCCGAAGCUAACGCAUUAAGCACCCCGCCUGGGGAGUACGGCCGCAAGGCUAAA
rnacentral:rRNA from 1 species